rnacentral:rRNA from 1 species
UACGAAGGGGGCUAGCGUUGCUCGGAAUCACUGGGCGUAAAGGGUGCGUAGGCGGGGCUUUAAGUCAGAGGUGAAAUCCUGGAGCUCAACUCCAGAACUGCCUUUGAUACUGAGGAUCUUGAGUUCGAGAGAGGUGAGUGGAAUUCCCAGUGUAGAGGUGAAAUUCGUAGAUAUUGGGAAGAACACCGGUGGCGAAGGCGGCUCACUGGCUCGUAACUGACGCUCAUGCACGACAGCGUGGGGAUCAAACAGG